UACAGAGGUCUCAAGCGUUGUUCGGAUUCAUUGGGCGUAAAGGGCGCGUAGGCUGCGGGGUAAGUCGGGUGUGAAAUCUCAGAGCUCAACUCUGAAACUGCACUCGAUACUGCUUUGCUUGAGGACUGGAGAGGAGAUUGGAAUUCACGGUGUAGCAGUGAAAUGCGUAGAUACCGUGAGGAAGACCAGUGGCGAAGGCGGAUCUCUGGACAGUUCCUGACGCUGAGGCGCGAAGGCCAGGGGAGCAAACGGG
rnacentral:rRNA from 1 species